AUGUUCUAAAAACCUAAAUUCCCACAUUCGUGUCUCUAUUUUUCCAUUUUUCUGCCGUCAUCUACUAAAACCCUAAUGGAUCCUUCACUGCUACUUGAACCACUCCAUACAAACUGUAGAGAGUGAAAGUAACAAUUUGUAGUGAGAGAAAUUCCAGAUAUCGAACUCCGGCGAAAAUCCGAAUCUCCUGCGAACCGGAUCUGAGUUAUGGUGAAAAUCCGAAUCUCCAGGUGGUGGUUUAACGCCACAACGAAAGGUCGACGGCUAGGGUUCCAGCAGCACAUAAAUCUGACCAGUUGUGGUUUCAGCCAGUAUCGUUAAAAAGCUUAAUACUGGAGCUCAUGAGUUGGUCAUGGAGGGAUAUAAUUGUAGAUGCAAGGAUGGAGUACGCAAAAUUUCUCCAAGAAAUGGAUAAAGAAGUUCAAAACUCACGAGAUAUAAAAGAGAACAACAAAAGAUCUUGAUGAAUUUAUGAACACGGUAGCCUAGGUCUUAGACUUUCAAUGUUCUAAGUUUUAGUUAUCAUACACUUUUAGGUGCUGUUUGUUUUUGCAGACAUAAAUUGUCUGCAAGCUGAUUUCAUCUGUUUUUAUGUCUGCAACUGAAGAUGUGGUCUGAAGAUCUGCAAGCUGAAAAUAUAAGACUGUUUGUUUUUAUAAGUUGAUACCGGUCUGAAGCGCAUCAAACAAAGACGAAACAUUCACAUUCAGCUUCGAUCCAGUGGAGGAGAAGAGGGAGGUCGAAGAAGGAGCUGGUCACCGGAGGAGGAAGGAGGUCGCCGGAGGAGGAGGGAGGUCGGAGAAGAGGUAGGUCGCCGGAGGAGGUAGGUCACCGGAGGAGAAGAGGGAGGUCGCCGGAGGAGGAGGUAGGUCGCCGGAGGAGAAGAGGGAUGUCGGAGAAGGAAGAGGAACGGUGGUGAGAGGGGCGAGGGAGGAAAAGAGGGAGGUGUGAAGAUGUUUUAAAAAAGGGGUCCAUAGCUUAUUUUUUAAGAUGAAAAAAGCUGAGUUCAGAUCUGUUUGGAAAAAAAAUCAAACAGUCUUCAAGGGUAACGUCUGCGCGCCUGCAGACAUCAGCCCCCUUGAAGAUGUUUGAAGAAAAAACAAACACCCCCUUAGAGAAAGUAAUAAGAUUUAUAUAUCUUAUGUGACAAAUAUUCAGGUUAGGCGUUGUGCAAGUGUUUCCAAUGAUGAAAUUCGGGGAUCUAUCAAGUUGUUCAAUGAUGAGCUCACCUUGGAUAACAUCAGUAGACCUCAGUUGGUGAAUAUGUGCAAAUAUAAUGCCAUCGGCCUGUUUGGAACAUAUGCAUACGUGCGUUAUAUGCUUCGUAAGAGGCUGCAAGAGUAAGUUACCAUAAUACCAUAUCCAUAUCCUAGAUUUUUUGUUUAAAAAUUGACUGGUGAAACUAGGACCCUUGGCUGUAUUACAACGCAUGGGAAAGCUUAUAUCUUCAUUAAAGUGUAAGUUUCCAAUGCAUUUUGUGUUAAUAUCGUAUGUUUUCGGUUUACUUUGAGUGCUUUCGUGAUAAUGGGACUCCCACUUUUCAAUAUUCUUAUGUUUUUUUUUGACCGUUUUGUAUUUGUUACAUAUGCUGGUGGUCUAAAAUUUAUAUUUAAAAUAUGUUUUCUGACCGUUUUUUCUUUUGGUUUGGUGAAAGUUCUAUCAAGAUCAAAAACAAUACGUUGAAGGAAAAUGGAAGGAUGGAGGUCAAGUUAUAAUGGGUUUGAGUAAACUAUAAUUAACAAAUAUGCAAGAUGCUUAGAAAUGGAAUGAAAAGUAAAAAAUCCAAAUUAAACAGUAAUCCAAUACUUUUUAAGUUUUUUCCUCUCUUGUGCAACUAUUAAAACACCUGCAAUAGAGGUUUUUAAACUCCAUGGAUGCCCAUGUGACAUUCAUGGGUGGAGAAGCCACAGAUGCCUCAUUGCAUGGGUAUGUCCAUGGUUGUUUUUCGGAUCAGAUGUCCGUGUGUGGCUCUUUUGGUUUUUUCCAUUGAAUUUUUUCAUUUAAAAAAUAAAAUGAAGCUAUGGAAACAGGGUUGGCAAGCGAACCUGAACAUAAUGGCAAAACCGAAAUCCGAAACAUUCGGGACUGGUAAUGGAAUGGGUAUUCAGGCAUAGGAUUGGUUUAAAAAAAAAUUCACGGGCAUAGGACAGGUAUGAAAUAUGGCGAUAGCCGAACUGGUACCUGAAAACAUGUACCCGUUUACCCGAACCAUAUAUUCGAAAAUAUAACUGAACAUAUCUACUCAUUGGUUUUGUUACACUUUUAUAUUGGAAGGACAAUACACCCGAGUUUUUUGUUCCAGAAAAAAAAAAAUAAUAGUCUUAUCCUUCUGAUGGUCGGGGGUUGGGUCGCUGAAUAUGCUUUUCACUAUGCUAAAGCUAAGGGUAGAGAUAGAGUAUCUGCUAUACACAAAGCUAACAUUAUGCAGAAUACAGGUGAUCUAUUUUUGAAGGUUUUAAUUUAUUAUAUUUUGAGAUGUUAUAGAUUGGCAAAGAUCUUAUUAUGUUUGAUUAUGCUAAAUUUCUAUUUCAAUAGUGUUGUUGGGAGGUUGCUGAGAAGUACCCUGAUAUAAAAUAUGAGAAAGUUAUCAUUGAUAAUUGUUGUAUGAUGGUACAUCCUUUAUCUAAAUAAGAAUAUUACUAGAGUCAUUAUUAUUUUUUUUUUGUAUAUGUAACUGGUAAAGAAUCCAUCACUAUUUGAUGUGUUAGUGAUGCCUAACCUUUAUUGUGACCUUUGUGCUAGAUUGAUUAAAGGAUUAAUGUACUUUGUUCGUCAUGCAUUAUACAUUUUGAAUAAUAUAUAUAUAUAUAACCUAUGUCAGUAAAAAUCAUUGAUGCAGCAAGCCUUUAUCUCUUGCAAAGAAUGAAUGAGCUCCUCAGUCGGUUUGUUAAUAAACGAAGGUGGGUUAGUAAGGAUCUCUUAUUGUGAACAUU